ensembl:lncRNA
CUCUCAGUAUUAUUGUGUGCUCACUGUGUUUUCUUUAAUUAUAUGGAGUGGGAUUUUGUUCAAUUUCACAGUUGCACAAACAUGCAGCAAUUAUUCCUGAUAAGUGAUAACGAAUCACUGAACAUUAAAUAAGUGUGUUCUUGUGUGCGGGCAAGCAGGCACGCAUGUUUGUGCCUCUGCACCACGGACUUGAGCUCCAUGUCACAAACUGCUCAUGGACAUAGAAUUCCAAUUAGCGUUAAAUAUAACAAGAGCAACUGUUCUGCAUGGGUGUGUCACUGUGCAUCCAUAAUCCCAUCCAUAAUCCCAUCCAUAAUCAUAUUCACUGAUCACUUGUUUGUUUUGGCAGCACUGUGGCCUUGAGUCAUUUGUUUGUGUGUUUGGAUUGCAGUGCAAACAGUGUAGUAGGAGUUUUCAUUGAACAUGUUAAUCCUGCAAAUGGGAACUGGACAGAAACUGGAGAAGCUCCACCAGGAAAGGCUCUCCCCCAGAGGUGUGCUCAAGGCAUCCAGCAGUGGAGUACGCAUCGUGCAAACGCAGGGCCACCUGAGUGGAAGUGUCCACAUUCAGGAGUGCAGUGGAUGGAAUGAGGGAGCAGACUCAUGGAUCUGUUGAAGACAGUAGCGUUUCUAUAGAAAAGAGCUGUGCAUGCACAGUAGCAAAAGCAAAGAGGCCUGAUUGGGAGUACUCCAUUGAUGCAACACACAGUGGCACAACAUAUUCUACUGAGGUUUGCACAGAAGCUCAGACAAGACCCCUGCAAAGACCCAGAUGUACAUCUAAACAGGGAUUUGCAUGACAGGUGGGAGAGGUCUUUGUUGUCAGCAUCAGCAGCCACAAGAGGAGCAUUAACUGUGAAGCUGCAGGUUCACCUGCAAGAGGGCGGGGAAUCGGCAAAUUGAGGUCAAAGCUACGCUCAAUGAGAAGACAGCAGAGGAGAAGACCUAGUUUUCGGUUAGCAGAGCAGAGAGCCGAGGGAGGAGGAGCAUCACUGCGAAAACCUUUGCCAGCAUUUGUCCAUCCAGCAGCCAGCAGUCAUGGCAGCUGGAUGGAGGUUCAGCUGAAGAGCUUGUCCUUGAAGUUACUUCACCCUUAAGAAGGCAAUUCUUGAAAUGGACAGACUGCAUCACUCCAAUGUGAGGGGCCUUUAACAUCUUAAUGAUUUUUUUUUUUCAAUCGUAUACACUACCUAUUUAAAGUAAAUAGUUCAACAAUUCUGUAAUACCAGACUAUAAAGGUGGAAUAUAAAUGUUUAUAAUGUUUGAUGUGUUUCUUUCCUUUCCUAGUCAGAAUGUCCUGAAUGACAUUUUUCGUGUUGUUAAGUUGAACAAAUUAUUGGCUUAAAGUAAUAAUAAUCUAUAUUUCAUGGUUAAGUUUCUUUACACUGUUUUCUAUAAAAGUGUAGCACUUUUGUUUGGAGUCACAAAAAGCAUCUUCUCCUAGAGCAAUAGACCCACAAGCCAAACUCCAAAAUCUUAAUGAGUGUACCCAGAUAGACAAGAAAUUGCAUCCAAAUAAAAGAAUAAUAAAGGCAUCUAAACCGUAACAAGUCUGCCUUUGUUCUUCCACUCCACCCACCACAAGCAGGCAUUGUUGCAGCUUUGAGGGCAGCUCUGAGAGUUCCAUGCCCAUCGGCCUUCAAUCAC